AUAAUUUUAUUGUGAAUGGAAUUGAGAAUUUCGACUUGUUUGAAUUCUUUAAACCUAUUAGGCCUGAACUAUUGUUCUUUCUGCCUGAACAUUUUUUAAUAUAAAGGAAUGCUCUAGUAUUAAGACUAUCUCUGGGGCCUCCCAAAUAAAACUUUCUUAAAUUUGAUCUGAAAUCAGGCGGGAUUACCCGCUGAACUUAA
rnacentral:misc_RNA from 1 species